ACGAGAAGACCCCAUGGAGCUUUAAACCCAACGACACCCGCCCCCCUCCAAAUCCUACUAUUUACCCGGUGAUUGUUUGUUUGGUUUUAGGUUGGGGUGACCGCGGAGUAUAAGAUAUCCUCCAUGAAAAAAAGCUAACUGCCCUUAUUAGAGAAAGACACUUCCAAAAAAUAAUAAAUUAAUUUUAAAUGAUCCGACAUUCGAUCAACGAACCAAGUUACCCUGGGGAUAACAGCGCAAUCCGUCCCGAGAGCCCCUAUCGACAGGCGGGUUUACGACCUCGAUGUUGGAUCAGGGUAUCCUAGUGGUGCAGCAGCUACUAAAGGUUCGUUUGUUCAACGAUUAAAACCCU
rnacentral:rRNA from 1 species